UUCUAGAGGCUGCUAAUGGCUAGAGAGUUUAAUGACAAGGCUGCAUUUAGUAACCAUGGUAAUGCUCAUGUUUUUCUUUGAGAAUUUGAAAUAGCUGUACAAUAUUACUUGUGAGAAAAUUUCAAGCAUAAAUUUUUAAUCAGAGUUUUUCAGGAUCUGCUGCAUAUUUUAUUGGAACACUAUUCAACAUUAAAGUAUGUAAGAAUCAGCUAAUUAAGUGGAUGAUUUCAGAUAAUGCGGAUGUUGUCAGCAUAUUUCUUGUAAAUCUGAAUGGAUUAUUUAGAUGGAACAAUGAGGAAACCUUACUAAAUGUUUCAACAAUUAUUAACUCAUUGAUUCUCCUGUAAAUGGUACUAUGCCAAAGAAAAUUUACAAAUUUUCAAACAAAAAUUUACAUAUUUAUUGAAGAGAUUAUUUGAUAGAAAUGAAGAACAACAAAAUACACAUUAUGAACAGGGACAUUCAACUGAAAAUAAUGAAAAUACUACAGGAAGCGCAUUAACAUCAACACUAGAGAAAAAACUAAAUAAAUUAUUCUAUAUUUUUUUAUUUUUUCUAUUUUUUAUUAGAUUCUCCUGUAAAUGGUACUAUGCCAAAGAAAAUACAAAAAUUUACAGAUUUAUUGAAGAGAUUUUUUGAUAGAAUUGAAGAACAACAAAAUACAUAUUAUGAACAGGGACAUUCAACUGAAAAUAAUAAAAAUACUACAGGAAACGCAUUAGCAUCAACACUAGAGGAAAAACUAAAUAAAAUAUUCUAUAUUAAACACUUAUAAGUAUUUUAAUUUAUAUUAUAUAUUUUUUUAAAGUA